rnacentral:rRNA from 1 species
GAACGCUGGCGGCAUGCCUUACACAUGCAAGUCGAACGGCAGCACGGACUUCGGUCUGGUGGCGAGUGGCGAACGGGUGAGUAAUAUAUCGGAACAUACCCAGUAGUGGGGGAUAACUAUCCGAAAGGAUAGCUAAUACCGCAUACGAUCUGUGGAUGAAAGCAGGGGAUCUUCGGACCUUGUGCUAUUGGAAUGGCCGAUAUCUGAUUAGCUAGUUGGUAGGGUAAGAGCCUACCAAGGCGACGAUCAGUAGCUGGUCUGAGAGGACGACCAGCCACACUGGAACUGAGACACGGUCCAGACUCCUACGGGAGGCAGCAGUGGGGAAUUUUGGACAAUGGGGGCAACCCUGAUCCAGCAAUGCCGCGUGAGUGAAGAAGGCCCUCGGGUUGUAAAGCUCUUUUGUCAGGGAAGAAACGGAGUUCUCUAAUAUAGGAUUCUAAUGACGGUACCUGAAGAAUAAGCACCGGCUAACUACGUGCCAGCAGCCGCGGUAAUACGUAGGGUGCAAGCGUUAAUCGGAAUUACUGGGCGUAAAGCGUGCGCAGGCGGUUUUGUAAGUCUGAUGUGAAAUCCCCGGGCUCAACCUGGGAACUGCAUUGGAGACUGCAAGGCUAGAGUGUGUCAGAGGGGGGUAGAAUUCCACGUGUAGCAGUGAAAUGCGUAGAGAUGUGGAGGAAUACCGAUGGCGAAGGCAGCCCCCUGGGAUAACA